GGGUUGUGAGGUUAAGCGACUAAGCGUACACGGUGGAUGCCCUGGCAGUCAGAGGCGAUGAAGGACGUGCUAAUCUGCGAUAAGCGUCGGUAAGGUGAUAUGAACCGUUAUAACCGGCGAUUUCCGAAUGGGGAAACCCAGUGUGAUUCGUCACACUAUCGUUAACUGAAUACAUAGGUUAACGAAGCGAACCGGGGGAACUGAAACAUCUAAGUACCCCGAGGAAAAGAAAUCAACCGAGAUUCCCCCAGUAGCGGCGAGCGAACGGGGAG
rnacentral:rRNA from 1 species